rnacentral:rRNA from 1 species
GACGAACGCUGGCGGCGUGCCUAAUACAUGCAAGUCGAACGCACAGUUUAUACCGUAGCUUGCUACACCAUAAACUGUGAGUUGCGAACGGGUGAGUAACGCGUAGGUAACCUGCCUGGUAGCGGGGGAUAACUAUUGGAAACGAUAGCUAAUACCGCAUAAUAUUGAUUAUUGCAUGAUAAUUGAUUGAAAGAUGCUAUUGCAUCACUACCAGAUGGACCUGCGUUGUAUUAGCUAGUAGGUGAGGUAACGGCUCACCUAGGCGACGAUACAUAGCCGACCUGAGAGGGUGAUCGGCCACACUGGGACUGAGACACGGCCCAGACUCCUACGGGAGGCAGCAGUAGGGAAUCUUCGGCAAUGGACGAAAGUCUGACCGAGCAACGCCGCGUGAGUGAAGAAGGGUGUCGGAUCGUAAAGCUCUGUUGUAAGAGAAGAACGGGUGUGAGAGUGGAAAGUUCACACUGUGACGGUAUCUGACCAGAAAGGGACGGCUAACUACGUG